CUCCGGCCCAAACUUGAAUGUAAAGAAUGUAUAAUCAAUUUAAACAAAACAUAACUUUCAACAACGGAUCUCUUGGCUCUCGCAUCGAUGAAGAACGCAGAGAAUUGCGAUAAGUAAUGUGAAUUUCAGAACCGUGAAUCAUCGAAUCUUUGAACGCACCUUGCGCCCUCUGGUAUUCCGGAGGGCAUGCCUGUUUGAGUGUCAUGAAUACCUCACCCCUUCGGGUUUCCGAUUGGGUGGAUUUGGGUGUUGCCUUUCGAGGCUCGCCUUAAAAGCAUUAGUAACUUGAAGACGUGAUACGUUUCGUCGAAUGAGUUGCUCAUAACCUCCUGCAAAGGAUAUUGCCUAGCAAUACUCCAUGUCUACGACCUCAAAUCAGGUAGGGCUACCCGCUGAACUUAAGCAUAUCAAUAAGCGGAGGAAAAGAAACUAACAAGGAUUCCCCUAGUAACGGCGAGUGAACCGGGAAGAGCUCAAAUUUGUAAUCUGACGUCCUCCGGGCGUCCGAGUUGUAAUCUAUAGAGGCAUUUUCCGCGCCGGACCGCGUCCAAGUCCCUUGGAACAGGGUAUCAAAGAGGGUGACAAUCCCGUGCUUGAUGCGACUACCGGUGCUAUGUGAUAUGUUCUCAACGAGUCGAGUUGUUUGGGAAUGCAGCACUAAACGGGUGGUAAAUUCCAUCUAAGGCUAAAUAUUGGCGAGAGACCGAUAGCGAACAAGUACCGUGAGGGAAA
rnacentral:rRNA from 1 species